rnacentral:rRNA from 1 species
UAGGGAAUAUUAGUAAUGGGCGAAAGCCUGAACUAGCAACGCCGCGUGUGCGAAGAAGGCCUUCGGGUUGUAAAGCACUUUUUGAGAGGAUGAGGAAGGACGGUACUCUCAGAAUAAGUCUCGGCUAACUACGUGCCAGCAGCCGCGGUAACACGUAGGAGGCGAACGUUAUCCGGAUUUACUGGGCGUAAAGCGCGUGUAGGUGGUUUGGUAAGUAGGGCGUGAAAGCUCCUGGCUCAACUGGGAGAGGCCGUUCUAAACUGCCGAACCAGAGGACGGUAGAGGGAGGUGGAAUUCCGGGUGUAGCGGUGGAAUGCGCAGAUAUCCGGAGGAACACCAGUGGCGAAAGCGGCCUCCUGGACCACUCCUGACACUCAGACGCGAAAGCUAGGGUAGCAAACGG